AGUCGACCCCGAGUGAGACGGCAUAUAGUCCUCGCUUUUCUGNAGUGAAGGGAGGACCAAGAAUAAGGGCUGGGCAAGACCGGUGCCAGCCGCCGCGGUAAUACCGGCAGUCCGAGUGAUGACCGAUUUUAUCCGGCCUAAAGCGUCUGUANCCGNCCAGACGGGUCCGNCGGGAAAUCUGCACGGCCAACGUGCAGGCGUCCGGCGGACACCAGCUGGCUUGGGGCCGGAAGAGCCAGGGGGUACGUCCGGGGUAGGAGUGAAAUCCCGUAAUACCGGACGGACCACCGGUGGCGAAAGCGACCUGGGAGGACGGACCCGACGGUGAGGGACGAAAGCUAGGGUCACGAACCGGAUUAGAUACCCGGGUAGUCCUAGCCGUAAACGAUGCCCGCUAGGUGUGGCGCAGGCUCCGAGCCUAUGCUGUUCCACAGCGAAGGCGCUAAGCGGGCCGCCUGGGAAGUACGUCCGCAAGGAUGAAACUUAAAGGAAUUGGCGGG
rnacentral:rRNA from 1 species